GUACAAUCAGCUCUCCAGUAUCAGCGGUUCCAUGUGCAUGAAUUCAACCAACCGUGGAUUGUGCGGUAUUAUGUUUACGAUCCAUGGUUAGUUGAAUCCACCGAUGUGGAACCUGUGGAUACCGAAGGUCAGCUAAGGG